GGUAAAGUGGCUGACUUAGGUGAUAAACUGUAAAUUUAUUUAUGAUUUUUAAUCCUUUACCA
rnacentral:tRNA from 1 species